AGAUUGAACGCUGGCGGCAUGCUUUACACAUGCAAGUCGAACGGUAACAGGCCGCAAGGUGCUGACGAGUGGCGAACGGGUGAGUAAUGCAUCGGAACGUGCCCAGUCGUGGGGGAUAACGCAGCGAAAGCUGUGCUAAUACCGCAUACGAUCUAUGGAUGAAAGCGGGGGACCAAAGGCCUCGCGCGAUUGGAGCGGCCGAUGUCAGAUUAGCUAGUGGUGGGUAAAGCCACCGAAGGCGACGAUCUGUAGCUGGUCUGAGAGGACGACCAGCCGACACUAGGAACUGAGACGACGUCAGACUCCUAGGGACGCAGUCAGUGGGAAUUUUGGACAAGUGGG
rnacentral:rRNA from 1 species